GCUGUUGAGCUCUCUCUCUCAUUCAUGGCUUCCUCUCUCUCCUUCCUCAUCCCCUCAACCCACAGAUCACUCUCCCCAUCCGUCGCCCCACUCCCCACCUCAUCCCGUCACUCUCUCCGGCCACCGCCGUCCCGCCGUCCCGCCGCCGCAAUCGCCGCCGUCCAGCUCGAACAGGCUGCACCCCCACCCCCAUCCCCCUCUCCUCCCCGUCUCCUCCCCUUCCGCAUCGGCCACGGCUUCGACCUCCACCGCCUCGAGCCCGGCCUCCCGCUCAUCAUCGGCGGCAUCGACAUCCCCCACGACCGCGGCUGCGAGGCCCACUCCGACGGUGAUGUGUUACUUCACUGUGUGGUGGAU
rnacentral:misc_RNA from 1 species